rnacentral:rRNA from 1 species
AUUGAACGCUAGCGGGAUGCCUAACACAUGCAAGUCGAACGGAGUGGCGAACGGGUGAGUAAUGUAUCGGAACGUGCCCAGUAGCGGGGGAUAACUACGCGAAAGCGUAGCUAAUACCGCAUACUAUCGGAGCGGCCGAUAUCGGAUUAGCUAGUUGGUGGGGUAACGGCUGACCAAGGCGACGAUCCGUAACUGGUUUGAGAGGACGACCAGCCACACUGGGACUUAGCAACGGCCCAGACUCCUACGGGAGGCAGCAGUGUGGAAUUUUGGACAGUGGGGGAAACCCUGAUCCAGCCAUCCCGCGUGUGCUAUGAAGGCCUUCGGGUUGUAAAGCACUUUUGGCAGGAAAGCGGUACCUGCAGAAUAAGCACCGGCUAACUACGUGCCAGCAGCAGCGGUAAUUC